rnacentral:rRNA from 1 species
CAUGGUUGUCGUCAGCUCGUGUCGUGAGAUGUUGGGUUAAGUCCCGCAACGAGCGCAACCCCUAUUGUUAGUUGCCAUCAUUCAGUUGGGCACUCUAGCGAGACUGCCGGUAAUAAACCGGAGGAAGGUGGGGAUGACGUCAAAUCAUCAUGCCCCUUAUGACCUGGGCUACACACGUGCUACAAUGGUUGGUACAACGAGUUGCGAGUCGGUGACGGCGAGCUAAUCUCUUAAAGCCAAUCUCAGUUCGGAUUGUAGGCUGCAACUCGCCUACAUGAAGUCGGAAUCGCUAGUAAUCGCGGAUCAGCACGCCGCGGUGAAUACGUUCCCGGGUCUU